CAUGAUAAAAUUUAUGCAGUAGAAUGAAACCAUAACAAAUUCCUUAUAAAAAUAUAUAAUGUUCCAAAUACAUAUAUAAACUGAGGCUACAAGUGGCUACAAAAUAUAAAACAUAAGGGUCACUUCUUUCACUAUGUUAUUGGUUUCAUCAGAGUGUGAGAACAAUCAUGUACUCAGACUUGUAAACUCACAGACUUCUAAGGGUAGGUCAGCCUGCGGUUCCUCACUUUCUUCCUCAUCUGGAGGGGCAUGAAAAGAGUGAGUUCGAUAUUUUCAGUAAGGAAAACAGUAUUAAAUUAACGUUAUAACAUUUCAAAAGUUAGUUAUUUCAUCUUACAAUUUAAAUUCCUUGCUUACCUAUCUCAGAUUAUGAAAAAUAAUUUAUUUGUUAAAAAAAUGAUACGUUAAUACAAACAAUCAAAUAUACAUCAUGCCAGAUAAUAGAGAAAAUCAAAUAAAUCAUUAAAUGCUCAAUUUUUUGUGCCAUGCUUCGUAAAGUUGUUACAAACUUUCAUCUUUAAGGAUAGAUACAGAUUUCUAACUACCCAAGUGGAAUGAUUAUAUCAGAUACAGACACAAUAAUUUACGAAGUACCCACUAUCAGCUGGCCAAACAAUGGUAUAAUCUAUGACCACGACCGUAAAAACUAUAGUGGUCCUAAUAGAUAUUUAUAGUCACGAAAUUACUUAGCCACAGAUGACCCCUACAGAUAGUGCAAUAUCACUCACGUCAGAGGGCACACAGUCAUCCACUAGGAGCAAUCCUCUUAUGUCUGUUCAGACCAGAUAGGGGAGGGAGAAAUAGAUACCCCGUAGGGCAGGGGAAACAUAUACCCCUCAGAGAUAAAAAGUCUAACGAGGUACUUGAUGCAAUAUGCAUGUUAAUAUAGAUACACUUCGGACCAUACAGACUUCAUUCCAUUUUUCUCUUUUUUUUCUUUUCUUUUAUACUUUUUACUUUUACCGAUUACAUAUUACAUUUAUUACAUGCAAAUUCAUCAAGUAUCAGCAAUUCACAUAGCAUGCUUGAAAAUAAGAACAAUUCGACUCAUCUAAACAUAGA
rnacentral:lncRNA from 1 species